CCCUUAGAUGCCCUGGGCCGCACGCGCGCUACACUGAGUGUCUGAGAUACGAGUCUGCCUGGUCCGGCAAGGUCUAGGUAAUCGCUAAAAGACACAUCAUGCUUGGGAUAGAUUAUUGCAAAUAUUAAUCUUGAACGAGGAAUUCCUAGUAAGCGCAAGUCAACAGCUUGCGUUGAUUACGUCCCUGCCCUUUGUACACACCGCCCGUCGCUACUACUGAUUGGAUGUUUAAGCGAGGUUCUCGAACUGCUAGCGACUUAGCUUCGGUGAGGUCGCAGUGUGGGAAGUGAACCGAGCUUUGGUGUCUAGAGGAAGUAAAAGUCGUAACA
rnacentral:rRNA from 1 species